AGAGUUUGAUCAUGGCUCAGGAUGAACGCUGGCGGCGUGCCUAACACAUGCAAGUCGAGCGGAGUUGAUCGACGGAAGCCUUCGGGCGGAAGAUGAUUAACUUAGCGGCGGAUGGGUGAGUAACGCGUGGGCAACCUGCCUCGAAGACCGGGAUAACAGUUCGAAAGGGCUGCUAAUACCGGAUGUGGUCAAGUGUCAGCAUGGGCAUUUGAUUAAAGGGGAAACCCGUUUCGAGAUGGGCCCGCGUCCUAUCAGCUAGUUGGUGAGGUAAAGGCUCACCAAGGCAAUGACGGGUAGCCGGCCUGAGAGGGUGACCGGCCACACUGGAACUGAGACACGGUCCAGACUCCUACGGGGGGCAGCAGUGGGGAAUCUUCCACAAUGGGCGAAAGCCUGAUGGAGCGACGCCGCGUGAGCGAAGAAGGCCUUCGGGUUGUAAAGCUCUGUCUGGAGGGACGAAGAAAGUGGCGGUACCUCCGGAGGAAGCCACGGCUAACUACGUGCCAGCAGCCGCGGUAAUAC
rnacentral:rRNA from 1 species